UACGUAGGGUGCAAGCGUUAAUCGGAAUUACUGGGCGUAAAGCGUGCGCAGGCGGUAAUGUAAGACAGGCGUGAAAUCCCCGGGCUUAACCUGGGAACUGCAUUUGUGACUGCAUUGCUGGAGUGCGGCAGAGGGGGAUGGAAUUCCGCGUGUAGCAGUGAAAUGCGUAGAUAUGCGGAGGAACACCGAUGGCGAAGGCAAUCCCCUGGGCCUGCACUGACGCUCAUGCACGAAAGCGUGGGGAGCAAGCAGG
rnacentral:rRNA from 1 species